UGAAUACGAGACGCUAAGGCGUCGAAGUAGUGUAUAUCAGACUUCCAAGAAAAGCUUGCACUGUCAUAGAUAAAAAAUGCCUGUACCAUAACCGACACAGGUGGGUAGGUAGAGUAUACUAAGGGGCGCGAGAUAACUCUCUCUAAGGAACUCGGCAAAAUAACUCCGUAACUUCGGGAGAAGGAGUGCCUUAUUUAUAAGGUUGCAAUAACAAGAUCCAAGCAACUGUUUAUCAAAAACACAGGUCUCCGCUAAGUCGUAAGACGAUGUAUGGGGGCUGACGCCUGCCCAGUGCCAGAAGGUUAAAGAAGUUGGUUAGCAAUUGCGAAGCUGAUAACUGAAGCCCUGGUGAACGGGGGCCGUAACAAUAACGGUCCUAAGGUAGCGAAAUUCCUUUCGGGUAAGUUCCGACCCGCACGAAAGGCGUAAUGAUUUGGAUACUGUCUCGGAGAGGGGCUCGGUGAAAUAGACUUGUCUGUGAAGAUGCGGACUACCUGCACCAGGACAGAAAGACCCUAUGAAGCUUUACUGUAACUUGAAAUUGAAAUUGGACUUUAUUCGCGCAGCAUAGGUGGGAGGCGUUGAUUAUAAUCUUGCGGGAUUAUUGGAGCCAUCAGUGAGAUACCACUCUUGUAAUGUUAGAUUUCUAACUUUGAAUCAUUAUCUGGUCAAAGAACAGUUUCAGGCGGGCAGUUUGACUGGGGCGGUCGCCUCCUAAAUGGUAACGGAGGCGUACAAAGGUUUCCUCUGAACGGUUAGAAAUCGUAUCUAGAGUGUAAAGGCAUAAGGAAGCUUGACUGUGAGACCUACAAGUCGAGCAGGGACGAAAGUCGGUCUUAGUGAUCUGACGGUACUGAGUGGAAAGGCCGUCACUCAACGGAUAAAAGUUACUCUAAGGAUAACAGGCUGAUCUCCCCCAAGAGUUCACAUCGACGGGGAGGUUUGGCACCUCGAUGUCGGCUCAUCGCAUCCUGGGGCGGUAGUACGUCCCAAGGGUUGGGCUGUUCGCCCAUGAAAGCGGUACGCGAGCUGGGUUCAGAACGUCGUGAGACAGUUCGGUCCAUAUCCGGUGUAGGCGUUAGAAUAUUGAGAGGAGCCUUCUUUAGUACGAGAGGACCGAGAAGGACAUACCUCUGGUGUACCAGUUAUCGUGCCAACGGUAAACGCUGGGUAGCUAUGUAUGGAGUGGAUAACCGCUGAAAGCAUCUAAGUGGGAAGCCCACCUCAAGAUAAGUAUUCUCC
rnacentral:rRNA from 1 species